rnacentral:miRNA from 1 species
UGUGACCCUAGAAUAAUUAC